GUUGACCUCGGAUCAGGUAGGAAUACCCGCUGAACUUAAGCAUAUCAAUAC
rnacentral:rRNA from 2 species